CAGGAAGAGAGAGGAACCGUGCCACAUGACUCAGCCACCAAGCAGCCCUAUGGAGAGGCCAAUGUGGAGAGAAACUGAGGCCUUCCACCAAAAGCCAGCACCAACUUGCUAUCCAUGUGAGUGAACCAGCUUGCAGUACAGAGUGGUCAACCCCAGUCAAGCUUUCAGAUAACUACAAGCCUAGUUGACAUCUUGACUACAACUUCAAGAGAGACAUCAAGGCAGAACUGCUUCGCUAAACUGCUCUUGAAUUCUUGACCCACAGAAACUGAGAGAGAG
rnacentral:lncRNA from 1 species